rnacentral:rRNA from 1 species
UACGUAGGGUGCGAGCGUUGUCCGGAAUUAUUGGGCGUAAAGGGCUCGUAGGCGGUCUGUCGCGUCGGGAGUGAAAACUCAGGGCUUAACCCUGAGCCUGCUUCCGAUACGGGCAGACUAGAGGUAUGCAGGGGAGAACGGAAUUCCUGGUGUAGCGGUGAAAUGCGUAGAUAUCUGGAGGAACACCGGUGGCGAAGGCGGCAUCCUGGACCGGCAUUGACGCUGAGGAGCGAAAGCCAGGGGAGCAAACGGG